UACGGAGGGUGCGAGCGUUGCUCGGAAUCACUGGGCGUAAAGGGCGUGUAGGCGGGUAGAUAAGUCGGGCGUGAAAUCCCUAGGCUCAACCUAGGAACUGCACUCGAAACUGUUUAUCUUGAGUGCCGGAGAGGAAAGCGGAAUUCCUGGUGUAGAGGUGAAAUUCGUAGAUAUUCGCAAGAACACCAGUGGCGAAGGCGGCUCACUGGCCCGAUACUGACGCUGAGGCACGAAAGCGUGGGGAGCAAACAGG
rnacentral:rRNA from 1 species